AUGGGCACCAAUUUCCCGCAGAGCCACCACCUCCAGAACACGCCCUUCUCGCUCCCCAGGAAGCAAUUCCUCACCUACAUCCUCUACGCCCUCCUCCCCCUCGCGCUCUUCCACUACCUCCUCUUCAACCCGCUGGCCGCGCCCAAGCCGCCGCUCCUGGCGCGAGAGGCGGCGCCGUCCCAGCACGGGCACGCGCCCGUCAAUGCGCUUGAGGAGCAGCUGCCCCCGCCCCCUCCCGGCCGAGGGGGCGAAGUGUUGGCAUUGGGGGAAACUCAAGGCGGGGACGUGUCGGCGUCAGGAUCCGCGUCGCCGGCGUGCGACUACUCCGACGGCGAGUGGGUGCCGGACGGGCGCCCGCCGCUGUACGACGGGACGAGCUGCGGCACCAUCAAGGACGGCCAGAACUGCAUGGCGCACGGCCGCCCGGACACCGGGUACCUCCACUGGCGGUGGCGGCCGCGGCGGUGCCACCUCCCCGCCUUCUCCCCGGAGGCGUUCCUCCGCUGGCUCCGCAACAGGCACCUGGCCUUCGUCGGCGACUCCAUGGCGCGCAACCAGGGCGAGUCGCUGCUCUGCCUCCUCGCCUCCCGCUCCCGGCCGGACCUCGUGUACCGGGACGGUGAGGAGAACAAGUUCCGGCGGUGGGUCUUCCGGGAGUACAACGCCACCGUGUCCAUCUUCUGGUCGCCGCUCCUGGUGAGGGUCGUCGAGAAGGCGGAGCAGGACGGCGUGCGGCACAACAACGUGUUCCUCGACUCGUUCGACGAGCGGUGGAUGUCGCAGCUGGGCGCGGUCGACGCGGCCGUCCUGUCCGUCGGGCACUGGUUCCUGAUCCCCGGCGUCUACCACGACGGCGGCAGGGUCGUGGGCUGCCACGACUGCGCGGACCUCAACCUCACCGAGACGGCCUUCUUCGGCGUGUUCAAGGAAGCCGUGCACCGCACGCUCGCCGAGGUCGCCCGGCGGCACGGCGCGGACAGGAAGGUGGUCGCGGUCACCACGUUCUCGCCGGCGCACUUCGAGGGGGACUGGGACAAGGCCGGCGCGUGCCCCAGGAGACACCCGUACAGGGAAGACGAGAAGGAGCUGGGCUACACGGAGAAUGAGAUGAGGAAGACCGUCCUGGAGGCGGUGGCCGCCCACGCCGGCGACGGGCCCCUGCGGUUUGCGGCGCUCGACGUGACGAAGCUGGCCAACCUGCGGCCGGACGGCCACCCGGGGCCGUACAUGCGCAGCGACCCGUUCGCCGGCGGGGCGGACGCGCGGGUGCAGAACGACUGCGUGCACUGGUGCAUGCCCGGCCCGAUCGACACGUUCAACGAGAUCCUGCUACAGACCGUCGCGGGGUGA
rnacentral:rRNA from 1 species